GUUCAUUUCAAUGAACAUAUAUACCAUACUAAAAUUGGAACAAUACAGAGAUUAUGGUCCCUGCGCAAGGAUAACACGCAAAUUCAUGAAGCAUUCCAAAUUUUU
rnacentral:snRNA from 1 species